AAUGAGACAUUGAAGAGAAGAGUAAUUGAUCGUGAAACGAUUAAAGAGACCCUCGGCAGGUGAAAAGAGGGAUCGUGGAAAAUCAAUGAAGAUGAGCUCUGAGUCUUCAGCUUGUUCACGCAAGCUGGACGGGAAGCGACCGUUAUAUCGCCGGAUAUGUUUGUAUCGUUGAGGUAUUAUUUGUGAGAAUAAUACGAAUAAGGGUGGUAACGCGAAAAUAUUCGUCCCUUUA
rnacentral:ncRNA from 1 species